rnacentral:lncRNA from 1 species
GCUUAAUCAUAGAAAGAAAACUCUAAUUUUUUUAAAUUUUAAAUUUAAAUUUUAUUUAAUAUAAUCAUAUUAUCUUAUUUUAAAUUAAUUUAAUUCAAAUUCUAACUGUACUUUUCAUUGAUCUAUUAUAAUGGAGUUGCCGCGUAACAUAAUUUUAAAAUAUAAAUAUAUAUAUAUAAGUAAAUUAGACGACAUCACAUGAUAAUUCUAUCACAGC